UUCGCAAUGCCCGAAAGGGUGACGAAGCGACGCCGCGUGCGGGAAGAAGGCCUUCGGGUUGUAAACCGCUGUCGGGAGUUAAGAAAUGUAAGGAUGUUAAUAGCAUCCUUGCUUGACUAAGGCUCCGGAGGAAGCCACGGCUAACUCUGUGCCAGCAGCCGCGGUAAUACAGAGGCGGCAAGCGUUGUUCGGAAUUAUUGGGCGUAAAGAGCACGUAGGCGGCUAUGUAAGUCGGUUGUGAAAGCCUUCCGCUCAACGGGAGAACAGCAUCCGAUACUGCAUGGCUUGAGUGCGGGAGGGGAGAGUGGAACUUCUGGUGGAGCGGUGAAAUGCGUAGAUAUCAGAAGGAACGCCGGCGGCGAAAGCGGCUCUCUGGCCCAUAACUGACGCUGAGUGUGCGAAAGCUAGGGGAGCAAACGGGAUUAGAUACCCCGGUAGUCCUAGCCGUAAACGAUGGGCACUAAGUAGAGGGGUUUU
rnacentral:rRNA from 1 species